UGGGUAACCUGCCUCAAAGAGGGGAAUAGCCUCCCGAAAGGGAGAUUAAUACCGCAUAAUAUGUUUAGGUCGCAUGACUUUAACAUCAAAGGAUUUUCUUUUAGAAAUUCCACUUUGAGAUGGACCCGCGGCGCAUUAGCUAGUUGGUGAGGUAACGGCUCACCAAGGCAACGAUGCGUAGCCGACCUGAGAGGGUGAUCGGCCACAUUGGAACUGAGACACGGUCCAGACUCCGUAGGGAGG
rnacentral:rRNA from 1 species